rnacentral:rRNA from 1 species
CAGUAGCCGCGGUAAUACGUAGGUGGCAAGCGUUGUCCGGAAUUAUUGGGCGUAAAGGGCUCGCAGGCGGUUUCUUAAGUCUGAUGUGAAAGCCCCCGGCUCAACCGGGGAGGGUCAUUGGAAACUGGGAAACUUGAGUGCAGAAGAGGAGAGUGGAGUUCCACGUGUAGCGGUGAAAUGCGUAGAGAUGUGGAGGAACACCAGUGGCGAAGGCGACUCUCUGGUCUGUAACUGACGCUGAGGAGCGAAAGCGUGGGGAGCGAACAGGAUUAGAUACCCGCGUAGUCCCUGUCUCUUAUAC